rnacentral:rRNA from 1 species
UGGGGGAUAUUGCACAAUGGGCGCAAGCCUGAUGCAGCAACGCCGCGUGAACGAUGAAGGUCUUCGGAUCGUAAAGUUCUGUUGCAGGGGAAGAUAAUGACGGUACCCUGUGAGGAAGCCCCGGCUAACUACGUGCCAGCAGCCGCGGUAAUACGUAGGGGGCUAGCGUUAUCCGGAUUUACUGGGCGUAAAGGGUGCGUAGGUGGUCUUUCAAGUCGGUGGUUAAAGGCUACGGCUCAACCGUAGUUAGCCUCCGAAACUGGAAGACUUGAGUGCAGGAGAGGAAAGUGGAAUUCCCAGUGUAGCGGUGAAAUGCGUAGAUAUUGGGAGGAACACCAGUAGCGAAGGCGGCUUUCUGGACUGCAACUGACACUGAGGCACGAAAGCGUGGGUAGCAAACAGG